rnacentral:rRNA from 1 species
AUUGGGAAAACUUGGUUGAAUGCAGAAAUCCCUGAACCAAUGAGUUUUUUGAACGAAAUUGCGCCCGAGGCCUUUCGGCCGAGGGCACGCCUGCCUGGGCGUC